rnacentral:rRNA from 1 species
GGGUGCGAUCAUACCAGCACCAAUGCACCGGAUCCCAUCAUCAGAACUCCGCAGUUAAGCGUGCUUGGGCGAGAGUAGUACUAGGAUGGGUCGCCUCCUAGGAAGUCCUCGUGUUGCACCCC